rnacentral:tRNA from 1 species
GUGUGUAGCUCAGUGGUAGAGUGCAUGCUUAGCGUGGGUGAGGCACUGGGUUCCAUCCCCAGCACCA